rnacentral:rRNA from 1 species
AACUGCGAAUGGCUCAUUAUAUAAGUUAUCGUUUAUUUGAUAGUACCUUACUACUUGGAUAACCGUGGUAAUUCUAGAGCUAAUACAUGCAAAUCAAUCCCGACUUCGGAAGGGAUGUGUUUAUUAGAUUAAAAACCAAUGCCCUCUGGGCUCUCUGGUGAUUCAUGAUAACCGCUCGAAUCGCAUGGCCUUGCGCCGGCGAUGGCUCAUUCAAAUUUCUUCCCUAUCAACUUUCGAUGUUUGGGUAGUGGCCAAACAUGGUUGCAACGGGUAACGGAGGGUUAGGGCUCGACCCCGGAGAAGGAGCCUGAGAAACGGCUACUACAUCCAAGGAAGGCAGCAGGCGCGCAAAUUACCCAAUCCCGACACGGGGAGGUAGUGACAAUAAAUACUGAUACAGGGCUCUUUUGGGUCUUGUAAUUGGAAUGAGUACAAUUUAAAUCCCUUAACGAGGAACAAUUGGAGGGCAAGUCUGGUGCCAGCAGCCGCGGUAAUUCCAGCUCCAAUAGCGUAUAUUAAAGUUGUUGUGGUUAAAAAGCUCGUAGUUGAACCUUGGGCCUGGCUGGCCGGUCCGCCUCACCGCGUGCACUGGUCCGGCCGGGCCUUUCCCUCUGUGGAACCCCAUGCCCUUCACUGGGUGUGGCGGGGAAGCAGGACUUUUACUUUGAAAAAAUUAGAGUGCUCUAAGCAGGCCAAUGCUCGAAUACAUUAGCAUGGAAUAAUGAAAUAGGACGUGCGGUUCUAUUUUGUUGGUUUCUAGGACCGCCGUAAUGAUUAAUAGGGACAGUCGGGGGCAUCAGUAUUCAAUUGUCAGAGGUGAAAUUCUUGGAUCAUUUGAAGACUAACUACUGCGAAAGCAUUUGUCAAGGAUGUUUUCAUUAAUCAGGAACGAAAGUUAGGGGAUCGAAGACGAUCAGAUACCGUCGUAGUCUUAACCAUAAACUAUGCCGACUAGGGAUCGGACGAUGUUAUUUUUUGACUCGUUCGGCACCUUACGAGAAAUCAAAGUG